UAAUCCUUGAUACCUGGUGUUAGU
rnacentral:miRNA from 1 species